UUUUUUUUUUUUUUUUUUUUUUUUUUUUUUUUUUUUUUUUCCU
rnacentral:ribozyme from 1 species